UACGUAGGUGGCAAGCGUUGUCCGGAAUUACUGGGCGUAAAGCGCACGUAGGCGGCUUUGUAAGUUAGAGGUGAAAGCCCGGGGCUCAACUCCGGAAUUGCCUUUAAGACUGCAUCGCUAGAAUUGUGGAGAGGUAAGUGGAAUUCCGAGUGUAGAGGUGAAAUUCGUAGAUAUUCGGAAGAACACCAGUGGCGAAGGCGACUUACUGGACACAUAUUGACGCUGAGGUGCGAAAGCGUGGGGAGCAAACAGG
rnacentral:rRNA from 1 species